CUUCGAUCCGAAUUACAACAAAUAGUAUCAGAACAAGGUUUGAUUUGUUCGAGGUUUUUUUUUUUCUCAAUAGCUUCCAUGAAGUAUGACGUUCCUCUUUUGGAUCGGAGCACUAGAUUCUCGCUACUACAACUUAAGAUGUGAGUAGUACUAGCACGGGUGGAUUUAAAAGAUGCAUUGUUGGGAAUUGACAAGAUGCCCACAACUUUAACCGUGAAGGAGAAAUUACGGAAGGAUAAGAAGGCUUUUCAUAUCUAUCUUCAUCUUUCGAAUAACAUUCUUUAGGACGUUUUGAAGGAGAGUUCUACAACUAUAUUAUGAUUGAUAUUGAAAAAAUUAUACAUAACCAAAAGUCUAACAAGUAAGUUGCAUUUGAAGCAGCGAUUAUACUCUCAUCACGUGACAGAAGCAAGAUCUUUGGAUGAUCACCUCGCUAUAUUUAAGGAGAUUGUCGCCGAUUUGAAAACUUUGGAAGAAAAAUAUGAUGAAAAAGAUUUGGCCUUGAUCUUAUUAUGUUUGUUGCUGCCUUCGUUUUCUUCAUUUAGAGACACGAUCUCGUGUAAUCGUGAUACUCUCACCAGAGACGAUGUGUACGAUGCUUUGUUUUCAAAUGAGAAGAUGAAGUAUCUGGUUGGAUCCAAGGCCAGUAAUGGAAAAUGCCUUGUUAUUCAUGGUUGUUACAAAAGGGGUAGAUCAAAGUCUAAUUUCAAUAAUCAAAUGUGUAACUUUAUCAUCAAGAAGAGGGGGCACAUUAAGAAAGGUUGAUUGCAAAUCAGAAUGGUAAGUAAUCAGAUAUUUUAAACGAAGUAGAUCAGGCAGAGAACUGUAUGAGUGAUGGAGAUCUUUUGGCUAUAUCUGACAUCUAAUUUAAAUCUGAAGAGAAUUGGAUUCUAGAUUUAGCAUGUGCAUUUCAUAUGUAUCCUAAUAAGGACUGAUUUACUACAUAUGAAACAGUUUCCAAAUGUGUCAUAAUUAUGGAAGCAUGGAACACAAAGCACCUUGUCGGUUUGCUUUUUGGUAAGGUCAAAUUGAAGCCAAGGGAUGGACAAUUAGAACACUUGUCUAGGUUCGAGAUGUUCCAAAUUUGAAAAAAGAAUCUCAUCUCAUUGUCUAUACUUAAUUUAAACCGUUACGAGUUCUCUGGGGGAGGUGGAGCAUCGAAGGUUUGCAAGGAUGCCCAGGUUGUAUUGAAGGAACAGAAAAGGUCUCAAAUAUACAUCUUACGGGGUCUUGCAAAAUCUAGAAAAAUCAAUCAGCACAGGUUUAGUACUUUGGUGAACAUUCAAUUGGUCUCAAUACCUUUGGGAUUUUUUAUAGGGUCAGAUUUGAAAUAUACAUCUCAAUUGAGUUAAGAAAUAUAGGUAAUAUCACUUUGCCAUCAUCACCUGCGGUGCUAUUAUAUUUAACUAGGAACGACAUAGUGGAGAAAGGUAUUUGGAUGCUGAUUUUGUUGGGCAUGCUUUAUGCAUAGUUGAAAGUGUACAGUUUAGAAAGGGAUUGCCUUCUAUAAAAGCAUUUGUGAUUGAUUUUGCUUUAUGAUGUGUUACAG
rnacentral:lncRNA from 1 species